GAAUUUUAUAUAAAUUUAUUGGUUGAUUUAGUAUUGGAAAAGGGUAGAUUUAUAUUUUAUUGGGAGGAUAAUUAAAUUAUAAAAACUUUAAUAGAAUUUAAAUCAUUAAUUUAUGUAUUAUAAUUAAUAAGGAAUGGUUAAGUAAAUUUAAGUAGAAUUAAUUACCUUAGGGAUAACAGCGUAAUAUUUUUGGAGAGAUCUUAUUAAUAAAAAUGUUUGC
rnacentral:rRNA from 1 species